CGUAGGAGGCAAGCGUUAUCCGGAUUCACUGGGCGUAAAGCGCGUGCAGGUGGCUCGGUAAGUUGGGCGUGAAAUCUCCCGGCUCAACUGGGAGAGGUCGUUCAAUACUACCGAGCUAGAGAGCAGAAGAGGAAGAUGGAAUUCCCGGUGUAGUGGUGAAAUGCGUAGAUAUCGGGAGGAACACCAGUGGCGAAGGCGAUCUUCUGGUCUGUUUCUGACACUCAGACGCGACAGCUAGGGUAGUAAACGGGAUUAGAGACCCCGGUAAUCCUAGCCGUAAACGAUGUGAACUUGGCGUUGGUGGGUUAAACUCCAUCAGUGCCGAAGCAAACGCGAUAAGUUCACCGCCUGGGGACUACGGCCGCAAGGUUA
rnacentral:rRNA from 1 species